rnacentral:misc_RNA from 1 species
UGAUAAUGCGUUGAAGGUAUUGGAUCGAAUGAGUGUUGCACCUGAUGUUGUCACGUACAAUACUAUUUUGCGUAGCUUAUGUGACAGUGGGAAACUGAAACAAGCUAUGCAUGUUCUUGACCGUAUGUUGCAGAAAGAGUGUUACCCUGAUGUGAUCACCUAUACAAUUUUGAUCGAAGCAACGUGUAAGGAAAGUGGUGUUGGGCAGGCGAUGAAGCUUUUGGAUGAAAUGAGGAG